GGAUCACUUUGGGAAUACAUAUACAAAAACUGAAACAAUACAGAGAAGAUUAGCGUGGUCCCUGCAUAAGAUGAUACACAAAUUUUUGAAAUGGUCAAUAUUUUC